rnacentral:rRNA from 1 species
AAAUUGAAGAGUUUGAUCAUGGCUCAGAUUGAACGCUGGCGGCAGGCCUAACACAUGCAAGUCGAACGGUAACAGGAAUCAGCUUGCUGAUUCGCUGACGAGUGGCGGACGGGUGAGUAAUGUCUGGGAAACUGCCUGAUGGAGGGGGAUAACUACUGGAAACGGUAGCUAAUACCGCAUAACGUCGCAAGACCAAAGAGGGGGACCUUCGGGCCUCUUGCCAUCGGAUGUGCCCAGAUGGGAUUAGCUAGUAGGUGGGGUAACGGCUCACCUAGGCGACGAUCCCUAGCUGGUCUGAGAGGAUGACCAGCCACACUGGAACUGAGACACGGUCCAGACUCCUACGGGAGGCAGCAGUGGGGAAUAUUGCACAAUGGGCG